AUUGAACGCUGGCGGCAUGCCUUACACAUGCAGGUCGAACGGCAGCACGGGAGCAAUCCUGGUGGCGAGUGGCGAACGGGUGAGUAAUAUAUCGGAACGUGCCCAGUCGUGGGGGAUAACGUAGCGAAAGCUACGCUAAUACCGCAUACGAUCUAUGGAUGAAAGCGGGGGAUCGCAAGACCUCGCACGAUUGGAGCGGCCGAUAUCAGAUUAGGUAGUUGGUGGGGUAAAGGCUCACCAAGCCGACGAUCUGUAGCUGGUCUGAGAGGACGACCAGCCACACUGGGACUGAGAAUCGGCCCAGACUCCUACGGGAGUCAGCAGUGGGGAAUUUUGGACAAUGGGGGCAAGCCUGAUCCAGCAAUGCCGCGUGCAAGACGAAGGCCUUCGGGUUGUAAACUGCUUUUGUACGGAGCGAAACGGCCCUCUCUAAUAAAGAGGGCUAAUGACGGUACCGUAAGAAUAAGCACCGGCUAACUACGUGCCAGCCGCCGCGGUAAGAC
rnacentral:rRNA from 1 species